rnacentral:rRNA from 1 species
GAUGAACGCUGGCGGCGUGCCUAAUACAUGCAAGUCGAGCGAACAGACGAGGAGCUUGCUCCUCUGACGUUAGCGGCGGACGGGUGAGUAACACGUGGAUAACCUACCUAUAAGACUGGGAUAACUUCGGGAAACCGGAGCUAAUACCGGAUAAUAUAUUGAACCGCAUGGUUCAAUAGUGAAAGACGGUUUUGCUGUCACUUAUAGAUGGAUCCGCGCCGCAUUAGCUAGUUGGUAAGGUAACGGCUUACCAAGGCGACGAUGCGUAGCCGACCUGAGAGGGGGAAUGGGCCAAACGGAAAUGAGGAAACGGUCCAAAUCCUAACGGAGGGCGGAGGAAGGGAAUUUUCGGAAAGGGGCGAAGGCCUGAGGGGGAAAGGCGGGGGGAUGAAGGAAGUCUUCGGAUUCGUAAAACUUGGUAAUAAGGAAAAACCAAAUGGGAAGGUAACAAGGAAGGCUUGAAGGUAACCAAUCAGGAAAGCACGGCUAACUACGUG